GAUGAACGCUGGCGGCGUGCUUAACACAUGCAAGUCGAACGGAAAUGCCCCUUCGGGGGUACUCGAGUGUCGAACGGGUGAGUAACACGUGCGUAACCUGCCCUUGACUUCGGGAUUACUUCAGGAACCUGGGGCUAAUACCGGCAAGGAAUCCUUGCUGCAUGGUGGGGGUUGGAAAGCUUCGACGGUUUUGGAUGAACUCGAGGCGUAUCAGCUUAUUGGUGGGGUAGUGGCUUACCAAGGCUUUGACCGGUAGCCGGCCUGAGAGGGCGACCGGCCACAUAGGAACAGAGAUUCGGCCAGAGUACAUACGGGGGGCAGGAGGGAGGAAUGUUGCACGAUGAGCGCAAGCGUGGUGCAGCAAGGCCGCGUACCGGAUGACGGCCUUAGUAUUGUAAACCGCAUUAAGAAGGGGAGACGCAUGUGGUGACGGUACCUGAUGAGAAAGCACCGGCUAACUACGUG
rnacentral:rRNA from 1 species